ACUUAUCGCCUAAAGGCAGCAUGGCGAACAUGCUCCAAGACACACUCUCCCUUAUAUUACAAUAAAUGCAUUGUACCAUAACUUUCUGAGCAAGCUAUAAUCCUGAAAGUUGAUUUAUAAAAACAGUAUUUAUGAUUUAAUAUUUACAAAAUUUGAAACGCUAUUUAAAAACCUACAAAUGUUUUUCUAAUUAUAUUUCAUUGUCGCUCCUGUAGAUAAAUACGUGCAUUGUAAUUUUGGCUGUUUAAAAUAAGUACCCACUUUAUAAUCAUUAAUGUAGAUUGAUUUAUUAUUAAAGAAAAAAAAUCACCGAGGUUUAUUUAGGCCUAUUUAUUGCGUUUUGCGUAUUUCACAAAUUGUUUACACUUUAUUUGUGGAGAGCCGUGUUGGUGGCUUUUACUUUGUUGAAAAAGCUUAUAGAGCCUAAAAUAAGAUGGUACUCUAAUGUUUAAUUAGGUCUAUUGAUUUAUUAAGAGUUGUUAAUGUUUGUAAAGAAAUGUUUGAAUGUAGUAACCAAUGUGGUCAAUAUAUUUUUUUUUUGCUCUUGAUACACUUAGAUUAUGAUAUUUUAAAGUAUCUUGGUAGAGUAGCCGUUUAUACAAUACAAUUUAUAUAUACACAAGAAU